CUUACACAUGCAAGUCGUACGAAGAUCUUUGAUCUUAGUGGCGGACGGGUGAGUAACACGUGAGAAUCUGCCCUUAGGAAGAGGAUAACAGCUGGAAACGGUUGCUAAUACUCUAUACGCCGAGAGGUAAAAGGAUUUAUCCACCUUAGGAAGAGCUCGCGUCUGAUUAGCUUGUUGGUAAGGUAAUGGCUUACCAAGGCGACGAUCAGUAGCUGGUUUGAGAGGACGACCAGCCACACUGGGACUGAGACACGGCCCAGACUCCUACGGGAGGCAGCAGUGGGGAAUUUUCCGCAAUGGGCGAAAGCCUGACGGAGCAAUACCGCGUGAGGGAUGAAAGCCUGUGGGUUGUAAACCUCUUUUCUCAAGGAAGAAAUUCUGACGGUACUUGAGGAAUAAGCAUCGGCUAACUCUGUGCCAGCAGCCGCGGUAAUACAGAGGAUGCAAGCGUUAUCCGGAAUCACUGGGCAUAAAGCGUCUGUAGGUUGCUUGCCAAGUCUGCUGUUAAAGAUCAGGGCCUAACCCUGGGAAAGCAGUGGAAACUAGUAGGCUUGAGUGUGGUAGAGGUAGAGGGAAUUCCUGGUGUAGCGGGUGAAAUGCGUAGAUAUUAGGAAGAACACCAAUGGCGAAAGCACUCUACUGGGCCAUAACUGACACUGAGAGACGACAGCUAGGGGAGCAAAUGGGAUUAGAUACCCUAGUAGUCCUAGCC
rnacentral:rRNA from 1 species